UCAGGACGAACGCUGGCGGCGUGCCUAACACAUGCAAGUCGAGCGAGGAGAUUCCCUUCGGGGAUGAACCUAGCGGCGGACGGGUGAGUAACACGUGGGCAACCUGCCUUAUAGAGGGGAAUAGCCUUCCGAAAGGAAGAUUAAUACCGCAUAACAUUACAUUUUCGCAUGAAGAAGUAAUUAAAGGAGUAAUCCGCUAUAAGAUGGGCCCGCGGCGCAUUAGCUAGUUGGUGAGGUAACGGCUCACCAAGGCGACGAUGCGUAGCCGACCUGAGAGGGUGAUCGGCCACAUUGGGACUGAGACACGGCCCAGACUCCUACGGGAGGCAGCAGUGGGGAAUAUUGCACAAUGGGGGAAACCCUGAUGCAGCCAACGCCGCGUGAGUGAUGAAGGUCUUCGGAUCGUAAAGCUCUGUCUUCAGGGACGAUAAUGACGGUACCUGAGGAGGAAGCCACGGCUAACUACGUGCCAGCAGCUGC
rnacentral:rRNA from 1 species